AAAGAUCCUGGAAGGUGCCACCAAGUGAGGUUAGGUUUCCCACUGUAGAUGUGAUGGAAACAUGGUUUCUCCACCAACUUAGAGGCUUGAAAGCAUUCAGAAAGAGUUUGGUCAACCUUGUAGGGGAACCAGCCCGCUAUAUCACCCACGGGUUCUCCCCUUCCCGGUGGAGAUGAGGGAAUGAGAAAAGAAAUAAAGACAAAGACACAAACUUUAAGAGUUAACAAAAGUGGGUCCAGGGGUCCAUCGCAAUGCAGAAACUGCAACAGCCCUGAGCUCUGGAUUCCACUGAUAUUUACUGAAAAAUCAUUAGAGUCCAACUAAGCAGUUAACAGAACAGAACAGGACGUGAAAGCAGACAGCCCGUCAGACGACAGGCCUGUGCAUUAAAGGAGGGGUCCACUCCAAGCACCAUCAGCAGAGCAGCAGAGCUCUCUGCCUCUGGGAACAAGCGGGAGAUAGAAGACUUCCUCCUUACCCUCAGAGGACUUCUCUUUUACAAGCGGCCUCCUGCUGUUCCCUUCUGGGGAAUGGAGCAGGGGUCGCUUCCCUUCCCACGAGACCUUUGUUCAGGGACUCAAGCGGGAGGUUGAGCAAUAAGCAAGCUUUCUUGCUUAGAGGCUCCGCACACUUCCU
rnacentral:lncRNA from 1 species